rnacentral:misc_RNA from 1 species
GAUGAAGAACGCAGCGAAAUGCGAUAAGUAGUGUGAAUUGCAGAAUUCAGUGAAUCAUCGAAUCUUUGAACGCACAUUGCGCCCCUUGGUAUUCCAUGGGGCAUGCCUGUUCGAGCGUCAUUUGUACCUUCAAGCUUUGCUUGGUGUUGGGUGUUUGUCCUGAGGGACUCGCCUUAAAGUAAUUGGCAGCCAGUGUUUUGGUUUUGAAGCGCAGCACAAGUCGCGAUUCAAAGCUAUACGCCAGCUUCCACAAGCCUUUUUCACUUUUGACCUCGGAUCAGGUAGGGAUACCCGCUGAACUUAAGCAUAUCAAUAAGGGAGGA